rnacentral:pre_miRNA from 1 species
GAGCCCCUGCUGGUGGGCGCGGGGCGGGGGUUUCAGGUGGUCUCGCGGUGGCCGCCCGACUGUCCCUCUGGGUCGCCCAGCUGGGGAGUUCC